rnacentral:rRNA from 1 species
GACGAACGCUGGCGGUGUGCUUAACACAUGCAAGUCGAACGGAAAGGCCCUGCUUUUGUGGGGUGCUCGAGUGGCGAACGGGUGAGUAACACGUGAGUAACCUGCCCUUGACUUUGGGAUAACUUCAGGAAACUGGGGCUAAUACCGGAUAGGAGCUCCCGCUGCAUGGUGGGGGUUGGAAAGUUUCGGCGGUUGGGGAUGGACUCGCGGCUUAUCAGCUUGUUGGUGGGGUAGUGGCUUACCAAGGCUUUGACGGGUAGCCGGCCUGAGAGGGUGACCGGCCACAUUGGGACUGAGAUACGGCCCAGACUCCUACGGGAGGCAGCAGUGGGGAAUAUUGCACAAUGGGCGGAAGCCUGAUGCAGCAACGCCGCGUGCGGGAUGACGGCCUUCGGGUUGUAAACCGCUUUCGCCUGUGACGAAGCGUGAGUGACGGUAAUGGGUAAAGAAGCACCGGCUAACUACGUG